rnacentral:tRNA from 1 species
GCUGUGGCACAGCGGUAGAGCGCUUGCCUAGCAUGUGUGAGGCCCUGGGUUCGAGUCUCAGCACAACA